UCCCAGCUGGCUCAUUUGGAAGAGCAUGUGAUUCUUGAUCUCAGGGUUAUAAGUUUGAACCCUAUGUUGGGUG
rnacentral:tRNA from 1 species